UAAGAACAAACCUACAGUCCCUAUCUUGUACGUAACCCGGGGACUGCCUGUAUAUGAAUUAUUGUACUGCUUGAGAAGUUGGGGAAAUAGUAAUGAAGUUGGGGAAUUCUUAUUCUCUAGAAGGCAACGGACUUCACUGGAUGGCCUCGAGCAGCUUCCAGAAUUGAAUAUUUUUAUGUUUUUUACUGCAACUAAUUUCUAAGAGUCUAGAAUCAAGAAAGACCUGCUUUAAUGGUCCAGUAGGCUUCCUUCUGUGUAAUAACUAUGCAAGCUGUCUCCCCUUUAGAUCAUAGCUCAUAAUAAUAAUUUCUACUUUGUGAAAGGUUUUAUUUUUAGGCUAAUAUAAUCUUAGAUGAAACAUUUCUCCUUCAUAGAUUUAUGAAGGAGCAUAGUUGUGAUUUAAAAAAAAAAAAAAUCUUACCAUUCCACCAACUCCCUUUAAACUAGCUUACACUGAAGACUUCACUGUAAAUAAGUGAUUAUACUAAAGACAUUCUUGCUAAUAAUACACUUUGACUUCUUUCUGGUUGAGAGUCUUGAGACUUCAGUCCUAAAGACAGAGCUAUCCAAGCAUCAGUGCUAUCCAUGUGUGGCAUCAAGAGGAUAUGUUAUAUAAGCAAAUAGUUAUGCAAAAAAAGAACAUCAUGAAAAAUGUAUAGUGGUUUUUUGCUUCAAUAAGUUUGUAGUGUUUGCAAACGGAGCCAGAUUGACAUAUGUGGAAGCAGAAGUACUCUCUGGACUUUGGUUUCUGAACCAUGAAAGAACUUCCCUCUUUUGUAGAGGGAUUGAAAGAAUGUUACCACUAACCAGGGAAACCUUGGUAUCUGUGUAAUUAUUUUCUUCUUGUAUGGUGUUUACUAAAACUUAAUAGAUGAUAUAAAAAUUUGGAACUGACAAGGGUGCACAGAAAGAGGUCACAAAAAUGUUUUGUGCCAAGUAUGUAUUGGCUCUAGUUUUGUCGGCAAUCCCUCUGGUUUUGUCGGCAAGCUGCUUUUCCUUAAAAAAUGAUGUUUACGCAGCUUGUCAACAAAUAGGAGGGUUCACUGACAAAACUGCAUCUUAAUUACUUUCACUUUUGAAAGUCCCGCUUUCGAAAGUGAGCUCGAAAGAAGAUAUGCAAAUUCCAGCUGAAUUUGCAUAUCCUCUUUCGAAAGUAUAGCGUAGUCUAGAUACGUGGAAAGGUGUUGUAUGCCAGGGUUCUGGUUGCAGUAGAGAGGAUAAGUUUCUGGUACAUAUAGAUAACUUAUAUUGUAAAGUGUUUUAAGACAAACUAGGGGGCCCAGGAUCGGAUUAACACAUGCUUAGGCUUUAAGAUAUGUCAGGUUUAAGAAGUCCCAUAGCAUUGUCAAAUAUAUGUAUUAUUCUAAUCCUUCAUAUUCUGAGGCCCUAAACUGUAUCUUCUUUAGCUUGUGCAUAAAUCUGUCUCUAAAGGGCCAUAUAGAAAGCCACCUUAGUAAGUUUUGUGAAAUUGACAAAGCAACAUUAAAUAGAAACCUUCUUUGGAAUUUUAUAACAAAUAAUUCUUUGGAAGUGUAGGCAGCUGUGGUGUGUCUGGAAAUAUGCUAAGAACUAAUAAACUACACUUUUAUUAAGGUUGAGGAGUGUAUGGGAAGGAACUGAUAAAGAACAGGAAAAGAGUACCUUUUAGAGAGUAAUGAGAAAAUUAUAGACCCGAUAUUUGUGAGCUAACAUGAAAUAUUUGUUUUGAAACUGAAUGCAAAUUGAAUAAAUGUCACCUUUUGGCUUUCAUUAGGGGGUCUUAACACAAGUUUUUGUGCAGAUCUCAUGCUGGAUGAUCUCAUUUUAUAAAACACAGACAAACAGAAAUGUGUAUCUUAACAAUGUGAGAGUGUGAACUUUUGGCAUACUUUAUGCCUGUAUUAUUGCAUGGGAAUGGUGUGGAAGAAACAUAUAUAAUCUGUAUCCUCUUGCUCUUCCUAAAUACAUGUUUUAAACAGAAAUUCAGGGUUCACGAGGGCUUAUCUGUCUGUCUUCCAAGUUCAAAGACUAGUCUUUUUUGUAGGCUAGAGUCAUCAAGCGAAAACCUUCCAACACAAGAAAUGCGUGAUGAGCUGUAGUUGCAAACAUCAGUGGCAGGGGGCAAAAACUUUUCCUCUGUCUGGUGUAAAAAUGAGGCAGUAAAUAGCGUGCUUCAGGGAAUUUGCGUUCCUACCCCCAAGCAUUGAUGCAGUGGUUUGUCAUUAAUCUGUCCGUCCCUCUCUCUCUCUCAUUUGUGUACAGUGAUGCAGUACUUAAAUAGCAGUGCAGUGUCUGAGAGAGGUAGACCAUCACUAUGCCACCUAACUAAUCUGUAAAAUUCUAGUAGUAUAUUUAAGUUGAUGAUUAACAUUGUCAGCCUGAUUGAGUAUAUCCUUUCUAAAACCUUGUUUUUUCCUCCUCCUCCUGUUGCUUUAAACUCUCUCCUUUGACUUCAAAACAGACAAUUGUGGGAUUUUUCUUUGCCUUCCUGACAGCAGUGAUACUGAAUUUAGAACUCAGGGCACCUUGAUUUGAUAGCAGCUGCGGUAUGCAUCUUAAGAUCUGUAAGAUGCGGUAUGCAUCCUAAUAUCUGUAAUGCAUGUAUUACAUUAAAUUAACAUUCUGUGGCAUACAUACUUGCGCUUCUCUCCCUAUCUUAUUAUUCUAACUUCAGACCAAUUAUAAAAAUGAAGACUGAGCAGUUAACAAUAUUCUCUUGCGUUGACACAGCCUGAUUCUACUCUUUUACACCCACGUGAUUCCUCUGAAGUCAGUGGAAUUAUUCCUCAUUUAUACCAGUCUGUGAAAAUUGGGACACACAUUGGUUUUAUUGUAGACUGACUCGAUCACCCUGACUUGGCCCCUUUCCAUUUUUCAUGCAGGCUGGCAAGCAGCUGCUUGUGCAUUUGAUGGCAGCGUUAUAUCCUGGUUAUCCAAGUAUUGCUCAGAAGAGUAGCCUGGUCUUUUCCGUUUCCUUUCCUUGCUGCUUUGGUCUGAGAGAACCGUACUGCAGUGCUCUUAAUUACUUGGCCUCCUCUGUGCUUUUAGAAGUCAGUUGCUCCUUUGGAGUCUGGAUUCUACUGACUGACUAGAGAAGCACAGUGGGAACCGGAGCUGGAUAUUUGGUGGGUAUUUGACAAAAAGAAUCAGGGCUUUUAUUAUUUACUGAAUUUUACAGUAUUAGUUGUAACCCUUUUCUCAAACACUACACAGAGGAGGGGAUUAUAUAAAUAGGUAGAGAGAAGAAACAUCAGUUCUUAAUGUAUCAGUAUAGCAUUAAAACAACUUUCCAUUUCCACACAUGUAACCUGUUCUUUGAAAUGAUCCUAAGAAAGCAGUAAGCUGUGCAGCAACAUUGUCAAGGAAGAUCAUUAUUUUUGCCAGAGCUCCCCCAAAUCCAAUUGCAUGCAGCAAAUGCAAGCCACAAAUGAUAAUAAAUCAUGGAUCCUUCACACCAGUGACUGAAAUAUGACUGGUGUGACCUAGUUCAUUUGCAUAUUAAAUGUGUUAGAGAUUUUUAUGCUUUUUUUCUUGUUUCCUAGGAAACCGGUGCUAGGGUAUAGUAGAGAACAGUAAUUGCAUGGAGGGUGCUGCAUGUCUGAAUCUUUGUUCUUUUGUAGACAGGAGGCUGUAAAAAAUAGAGAGGGCUGGAAUUGUAAAAAUAUCUUUGACAAAAAAUAGGAUAAGCACGUCCCUAUUUUGUGCUAAAGAACUACAAAUUCCCAGCAUAUUUGUACAAAAAUGCUCCCAUGUACUAACAGGAAUAUUUAUAAUGUAAGUCAUUUGGGUAUGACUUGUACAAAGAGUCACUUCAAGGCACUACUAAAAGAAACUGAAUUCAAAUGAACAUGAAGCUGACUAAUUUGUUUUCAUUGUCCUUGCUGAAUGCAUGCAACAACGGUGGUAUUUGUUAGUGGGUGAAUUAGACAGUGAAAUGGAGAAUGUUGUCAGAAGACUGAACAUGUAAGUAGAAAAGGAAAACUAGAUGGAAACAGAUUAAAUUAGUGGUAAAUCUUGGGAUAGAGAAGUGGCGAUUUCAAGAGAAUUAAAUAACUCUAGAGAGAGAUUAGGACAGCUGUGAUCCUUCAUAUAGCGAGGGAGAGGAGGGAAGAGUAGAGUUGAGGACUACUGUCUAGUUGUGCCAUGUGAUUCAUUUAAAAGCAACCUCUUAGCUUUAGCAGAACAGGUUGAAACUGUCUUAACUGGGAUUCUCUGGUCGGCAACAUCCAUGGUCCGGCACACGUUGGAGGGCCAGUGGAAACGAUCCCUGCAGGUCCAGCAGGGCAGUGAGCUGCUUGCAACAGGUCUGUCCAUUGGGAUUUGGGAGACACGUGCAUGGCUGCCCAGUGGGCCUGGGGCUGCGGUAGCUUGGUGGGGCAGUGACCCGCAGCUGCCUGGUGGGUCCUGGAGCCCCGGUGUGGCAUGUGUGGUUGCCCUAUGGGUCCCAGUACGGCACGCAUGGUUGCCCUGCGCGUCACAGAGCCAGGAGAGUGAUGUCUUCGAAGCAGGGUCUGCUGGCGCUGCUGGAGGUGAGGAGCCUGCCUGGAGGCCAGUGGGCCGGGUGGAGGGUGGGCUGGUUGCAAGGGGUCCAAAAAAUACCUCCCCUGGUCCAACAAAAUUCCUCAUCUGGGACCGGUCAGGCCCCCGAGAGUCCCAGACCAGGGAGGUCCAACCUGUACUAAGAAAUUUUGCCACUGGAACUUGUAUGUAGUAAUGUGUGAGGACAUAAGAGUGCUGCAGAGCCUUCCCCCAAAGUGUUGGUGAAGCUUCCUGGAACAAGUGCUUAAUAUUUCUGGUAUACAUAAAUAUGACUGCACUUGUUCUUGGUUUGUUCCAAUGGAUGUUUCAACUAGCAUGAAGAGAUGCUGGAGUUUCUGUGCACUGCUGAGCUCUCUUGCUCGCACCGAAGAUGCCAGGCCAAAGAUUUGCAAGCCACAACUUGAAUGACUCUGGGUUGGAGGUUAUUGUGAAGAGCAUUGCCCUGGGUGGGAAAUGGUGCUUGAAGGAGAGCACUGAGAACAGAGUGGGCCUAAGUUUGGAGGGAGAGUGCCACAAAAUUGUACCAGUCCCUUCCCCCCAAUUCCUGCACUGAUUGUAUAUGAUUUCCAUAGGGCUGUCAAGAGGACCACUGGGUUUUGGGCGGGCAUGGGAUGGAAUCUGGGAAACGCAGUUGUCUCACUCGGAAGCGGACUUUAGGUCACCAUAAAGCAAUGAUGAGUAACCUGUGGGCCACUGGUCAUGUGUGGCCCAUUGGGGCUCUGUUUGUGGCCUGCAAGGCAUUUUGUUUUCCGUUGCCCAUGUG